rnacentral:lncRNA from 1 species
GGUGAUUUUACCCGCUCUGCACUAUUGUGAAUGUGUUUCCAUAGUGUAUGACCAGAUUAUCAGAGGUCCCAAAGACCUACUCUCGUACACAAAUAGGCUUUGGGCCGUGUACUAGGGUGAUUAGCCUUUGGGGCAGCUCUGCGUACGUAUGACCAGAUUAUUAGAUUAUCAGCUAUCAAAUUAUCAGAUUUGAAUGACUUUGCCUUGUACAUCGAGAUAACUCUGUACAUGAGUAAGGCUAUUCAUUGGGUACUCUUUAUGGUGUGAUUUUUCAGUAUUUAUUCAAUUCUUAGAUUUCAGAUUAUGGAAUUCAGUUAAUUUAGUUUUCAGAAUAAAGCUUUCAGCUUAUAGUAUUGACCAGUAGCAAUAUUUCAUAGAUUUUCAUGAAUAUCAGAUUAUUCGUUAACUUUACAUCUACUUAUCUAGAAUUACAGAAUUUCGGAAUUACAGAAUUACAGAAUUGAAUAGCUUUGUCAUGUCUAUCGGUGUAAACCGAUACAUGAGUAUAGUUAUUUCGGGUACCUUUUUGGUGUGACUUUUCAGUGUUGUACAGCUUAUCAGAUUUCAGAAUGCAGAAUUUAGCUUUUCAGUUUAAAGAAUAAAGAUUUAGCUUAAAGUACUGUGAAUGAUAUUUUUAUCAUAAACCAGUUUUUAGAAUGUUAGCAUAAACGGAAAAAGUAUUUUUAUUUACAAAAUUAUCCACUCACUGAGUUAUAGACUCACAUUUUUUUUUUUACAAUUUCUUUUAAUAGUAGCUGAGUUGAGCACUAUUGGGCCAGUUGAUCUAUCGAGUUGAACUAUAAAUUGUCAAGCAUUGUAUGACUCAUCUUAUCAGUUUAAUAGCUCAUAUUUUGGAAUAGACACCUCUUUUGGUCAGAAAUUAGUUCCAUGUUUUGGGCCUGCAAUGUUUUGUAUAUAUUAUGCAUUUUGGGUACUGUGGUUUAUAAAUUGUUUCAAAGGUCAAAUUGCCAGUGUUGUAUUUGAAUAGUUGAUUUUUUGUGAGCCAGUGUACCCUAUUUUAAACUAUAUGUAUCUGUUUGGGAUAAUGGAUUAUA